AGAUAUUGUUAUAAGGGAGUGUGAGACUAUUGAAACAUGUAACUUUCAGAGUUGUAUUGUUGUUAUUUAGAUAGUUUACAGAGUGUUAAAAGUGUUGCUGUUGCUAGCUAGCAUGCCUUUCUGGGAUGCAGACGGUUAGCUGAGUGGUGCUGGCGUUGCAUUAUGGGAGAUGUAGUUUGGUCCUCUACGGUAUGAAUGGAAUAGAGGCGAUUUCACGUUGUAACUUGUUUGUGUUGCAGUGUUUUUUGUACAUGAGUUGUUGUAUUUUGGUACUGUCAACACUGAAAGCACCUAGCAAUGUAUUGGGGAUGUGAGACAUGUGUUUUACCUUUCUUCAGGCUCCUGUGUAGAACAACUUGUCAGAUGGGGCGUUGGAGACUGAUGUGUUCCUGUCCUGUCUUUUCACAAUACUAUUGCAGAUCAACAUAAAAGCCUAAAAGACAGCCGUGGUGUCGCUCUUCAUUUCUUGGUUCUCCUGUGGUACAUAAGAAACCCGCUACACGUAGCUAGCUACACCUAGCUAUCUAACUACACCUGUCCUUGCAGAAACCUUCUUGUUCACAUAUUCACAAUAUGUUCAAGGCAGCACUGCAAACAUUGACCUUGUGCAGUAGUUAUCUAGCCAAUAUCUAACAGCCAAACUAGCUAAAUUAAAUAAUUGGGCUGGCUAGUAAGAUAGAUAACAAGCAGCUCUUCCAAGUCAGCUUGGAUUUCCGUUUUUUUAGCUAGCUAGCUAUCUAAAGCUGAAGUCAUUUGAGUUAUUUUCCUGACAUUGUCAUAGAUUUUAAUACAACUUCUCUUCUUUAGGUAUAGGUGUUCAGACGUUCCUGAGUACUGGACAGACCAUAUUUUCCAGAAUACAUUAACAAGAAGGAGAUAGCAUAUAUGGGGGUAGCCUAGAGCGUUGGGCCAUUAUCCAAAAGGUUGCUGGAUCGAAUCCCCGAGCUGACAAGGGAUCAUGCUGCAUUCAGGUACAAAUACGUGACAUCCACAACAUUGUGAGUGCCAAAAUGGCAAAGACCUUCUCAUAUUGAAGACAAGAUGUCGUUCAGGUCCUUCCUGUGAAGGACUUCAAAGAAUAAUGGCCAGCCCUGUUUGAGCCCACUCAGGAAGCAAAUUUGGCAAUGAUUGGGCGUUCAUACCUCUGCCCUCUGUCUGAAGCAGUGUACACGUUCGAGUUGGAUUUUGUCGAUAGCUUGGCGUGGAAUCUGAAGCGCUGUAAGGAGGAACUCUGUAACUACAGAUUCAGGAACUUCUCCUUCUUUCUCUUGGAUACCUGAACAUGCCAAGGAGUGUGGAGGAGCAUCGCAGAUCUACCCGUCUGUCUCUUUCUUCCUCACCUGUCUCACUGCCUCCACACUGGUCUUCCAUGACAGCUAUCUAGCCUGAACCCCGCCCCCCUCUGAUUCGUAAUCUCCCUGGAAUGUUCCAGAAUGCCUGAACUUAGCAUGCCUGCUGCAUUAUCUUUAUUAUUUUUUAUGACUAUAUGACUUAAGUUAUGAUAUUGUUCAUUUUGGCUGAUGGCCUGAGAGCUGUUGACUGACUCCAUGCUUGAUAACUUUACAAUCACAGAGAGCUGUUGACUGACUCCAUGCUUGAUAAUUUUACAAUCACAGAGAGCUGUUGACUUCAGAUGCUCGAUGACUUUCAACCACCAAAGUUGUGCUUCUUUGGACAACUGUUCUAAAACCAUGAAAGGGCUUUUUGGUUUCUUCUUCUUCAGUGUCUUAUAACAGAACAUUGGUUGAAGGAACAACGUUACAAUGUGAUGGACUACUAGGUGAAACAGCCACUCAAAACUCCAAAGAUAGUAUUUUCUUCAAGGCUUUUGUUUUUAUUUCUGUAAUAUUUCAGGGAAAUGUAAAGACAAGGUCCUGGACAGUAACAGGAUUAUAGUCUUUCUGUCUGAGACACUGUCAUCAUAGAGAUCUAGUAGUUUAUUUAGAUUAGGGUUGGGGUCAAUUCCUUUACAAUUCAGGAA